rnacentral:rRNA from 2 species
AGCGUACACGGUGGAUGCCCUGGCAGUCAGAGGCGAUGAAGGACGUGCUAAUCUGCGAUAAGCGUCGGUAAGGUGAUAUGAACCGUUAUAACCGGCGAUUUCCGAAUGGGGAAACCCAGUGUGUUUCGACACACUAUCAUUAACUGAAUCCAUAGGUUAAUGAGGCGAACCGGGGGAACUGAAACAUCUAAGUACCCCGAGGAAAAGAAAUCAACCGAGAUUCCCCCAGUAGCGGCGAGCGAACGGGGAGCAGCCCAGAGCCUGAAUCAGUGUGUGUGUUAGUGGAAGCGUCUGGAAAGGCGCGCGAUACAGGGUGACAGCCCCGUACACAAAAAUGCACAUAUUGUGAGCUCGAUGAGUAGGGCGGGACACGUGGUAUCCUGUCUGAAUAUGGGGGGACCAUCCUCCAAGGCUAAAUACUCCUGACUGACCGAUAGUGAACCAGUACCGUGAGGGAAAGGCGAAAAGAACCCCGGCGAGGGGAGUGAAAAAGAACCUGAAACCGUGUACGUACAAGCAGUGGGAGCACGCUUAGGCGUGUGACUGCGUACCUUUUGUAUAAUGGGUCAGCGACUUAUAUUCUGUAGCAAGGUUAACCGAAUAGGGGAGCCGAAGGGAAACCGAGUCUUAACUGGGCGUUAAGUUGCAGGGUAUAGACCCGAAACCCGGUGAUCUAGCCAUGGGCAGGUUGAAGGUUGGGUAACACUAACUGGAGGACCGAACCGACUAAUGUUGAAAAAUUAGCGGAUGACUUGUGGCUGGGGGUGAAAGGCCAAUCAAACCGGGAGAUAGCUGGUUCUCCCCGAAAGCUAUUUAGGUAGCGCCUCGUGAAUUCAUCUCCGGGGGUAGAGCACUGUUUCGGCAAGGGGGUCAUCCCGACUUACCAACCCGAUGCAAACUGCGAAUACCGGAGAAUGUUAUCACGGGAGACACACGGCGGGUGCUAACGUCCGUCGUGAAGAGGGAAACAACCCAGACCGCCAGCUAAGGUCCCAAAGUCAUGGUUAAGUGGGAAACGAUGUGGGAAGGCCCAGACAGCCAGGAUGUUGGCUUAGAAGCAGCCAUCAUUUAAAGAAAGCGUAAUAGCUCACUGGUCGAGUCGGCCUGCGCGGAAGAUGUAACGGGGCUAAACCAUGCACCGAAGCUGCGGCAGCGACGCUUAUGCGUUGUUGGGUAGGGGAGCGUUCUGUAAGCCUGUGAAGGUGUGCUGUGAGGCAUGCUGGAGGUAUCAGAAGUGCGAAUGCUGACAUAAGUAACGAUAAAGCGGGUGAAAAGCCCGCUCGCCGGAAGACCAAGGGUUCCUGUCCAACGUUAAUCGGGGCAGGGUGAGUCGACCCCUAAGGCGAGGCCGAAAGGCGUAGUCGAUGGGAAACAGGUUAAUAUUCCUGUACUUGGUGUUACUGCGAAGGGGGGACGGAGAAGGCUAUGUUGGCCGGGCGACGGUUGUCCCGGUUUAAGCGUGUAGGCUGGUUUUCCAGGCAAAUCCGGAAAAUCAAGGCUGAGGCGUGAUGACGAGGCACUACGGUGCUGAAGCAACAAAUGCCCUGCUUCCAGGAAAAGCCUCUAAGCAUCAGGUAACAUCAAAUCGUACCCCAAACCGACACAGGUGGUCAGGUAGAGAAUACCAAGGCGCUUGAGAGAACUCGGGUGAAGGAACUAGGCAAAAUGGUGCCGUAACUUCGGGAGAAGGCACGCUGAUAUGUAGGUGAAGCGACUUGCUCGUGGAGCUGAAAUCAGUCGAAGAUACCAGCUGGCUGCAACUGUUUAUUAAAAACACAGCACUGUGCAAACACGAAAGUGGACGUAUACGGUGUGACGCCUGCCCGGUGCCGGAAGGUUAAUUGAUGGGGUUAGCGCAAGCGAAGCUCUUGAUCGAAGCCCCGGUAAACGGCGGCCGUAACUAUAACGGUCCUAAGGUAGCGAAAUUCCUUGUCGGGUAAGUUCCGACCUGCACGAAUGGCGUAAUGAUGGCCAGGCUGUCUCCACCCGAGACUCAGUGAAAUUGAACUCGCUGUGAAGAUGCAGUGUACCCGCGGCAAGACGGAAAGACCCCGUGAACCUUUACUAUAGCUUGACACUGAACAUUGAGCCUUGAUGUGUAGGAUAGGUGGGAGGCUUUGAAGUGUGGACGCCAGUCUGCAUGGAGCCGACCUUGAAAUACCACCCUUUAAUGUUUGAUGUUCUAACGUUGACCCGUAAUCCGGGUUGCGGACAGUGUCUGGUGGGUAGUUUGACUGGGGCGGUCUCCUCCUAAAGAGUAACGGAGGAGCACGAAGGUUGGCUAAUCCUGGUCGGACAUCAGGAGGUUAGUGCAAUGGCAUAAGCCAGCUUGACUGCGAGCGUGACGGCGCGAGCAGGUGCGAAAGCAGGUCAUAGUGAUCCGGUGGUUCUGAAUGGAAGGGCCAUCGCUCAACGGAUAAAAGGUACUCCGGGGAUAACAGGCUGAUACCGCCCAAGAGUUCAUAUCGACGGCGGUGUUUGGCACCUCGAUGUCGGCUCAUCACAUCCUGGGGCUGAAGUAGGUCCCAAGGGUAUGGCUGUUCGCCAUUUAAAGUGGUACGCGAGCUGGGUUUAGAACGUCGUGAGACAGUUCGGUCCCUAUCUGCCGUGGGCGCUGGAGAACUGAGGGGGGCUGCUCCUAGUACGAGAGGACCGGAGUGGACGCAUCACUGGUGUUCGGGUUGUCAUGCCAAUGGCACUGCCCGGUAGCUAAAUGCGGAAGAGAUAAGUGCUGAAAGCAUCUAAGCACGAAACUUGCCCCGAGAUGAGUUCUCCCUGACUCCUUGA